rnacentral:rRNA from 1 species
GUUUGAUCAUGGCUCAGGACGAACGCUGGCGGCGUGCCUAACACAUGCAAGUCGAGCGAGUGGAUCUCCUUCGGGAGUGAAGCUAGCGGCGGACGGGUGAGUAACACGUGGGCAACCUGCCUCAUAGAGGGGAAUAGCCUUUCGAAAGGAAGAUUAAUACCGCAUAAGAUUGUAGCUUCGCAUGAAGUAGCAAUUAAAGGAGCAAUCCGCUAUGAGAUGGGCCCGCGGCGCAUUAGCUAGUUGGUGAGGUAACGGCUCACCAAGGCGACGAUGCGUAGCCGACCUGAGAGGGUGAUCGGCCACAUUGGGACUGAGACACGGCCCAGACUCCUACGGGAGGCAGCAGUGGGGAAUAUUGCACAAUGGGGGAAACCCUGAUGCAGCAACGCCGCGUGAGUGAUGACGGCCUUCGGGUUGUAAAGCUCUGUCUUCAGGGACGAUAAUGACGGUACCUGAGGAGGAAGCCACGGCUAACUACGUGCCAGCAGCCGCGGUAAUACGUAGGUGGCAAGCGUUGUCCGGAUUUACUGGGCGUAAAGGGAGCGUAGGCGGACUUUUAAGUGAGAUGUGAAAUACCCGGGCUCAACUUGGGUGCUGCAUUCAAACUGGAAGUCUAGA